CGGAGGAUGCAAGCGUUAUCCGGAUUCAUUGGGUUUAAAGGGUGCGUAGGCUGGCUAUUAAGUCAGUGGUGAAAUCCUGCAGCUUAACUGCAGAACUGCCGUUGAUACUGAUAGUCUUGAGUUUGGUUAAGGUAGGCGGAAUGUGGUGUGUAGCGGUGAAAUGCAUAGAUAUACCACAGAACGCCGAUUGCGAAGGCAGCUUACUAAGCUGUUACUGACGCUGAGGCACGAAAGCGUGGGGAUCAAACA
rnacentral:rRNA from 1 species